rnacentral:rRNA from 1 species
GAUGAACGCUGGCGGCGUGCCUAAUACAUGCAAGUCGAGCGAAUGGAUUAAGAGCUUGCUCUUAUGAAGUUAGCGGCGGACGGGUGAGUAACACGUGGGUAACCUGCCCAUAAGACUGGGAUAACUCCGGGAAACCGGGGCUAAUACCGGAUAACAUUUUGAACCGCAUGGUUCGAAUUUGAAAGGCGGCUUCGGCUGCCACUUAUGGAUGGACCCGAGUCGCAGUAGAUAGUUGGUGAGGUAACGGCUCACCAAGGCAACGAUGCGUAGCCGACCUGAGAGGGUGAUCGGCCACACUGGGACUGAGACACGGCCCAGACUCCUACGGGAGGCAGCAGUAGGGAAUCUUCCGCAAUGGACGAAAGUCUGACGGAGCAACGCCGCGUGAGUGAUGAAGGCUUUCGGGUCGUAAAACUCUGUUGUUAGGGAAGAACAAGUGCUAGUUGAAUAAGCUGGCACCUUGACGGUACCUAACCAGAAAGCCACGGCUAACUACGUGCCAGCCGCCGCAGUAA